rnacentral:rRNA from 1 species
AUCUCAGUAAUGCAGCUAACGCAUUAAGUGUACCGCCUGGGGAGUACGGUCGCAAGAUUAAAACUCAAAGGAAUAGACGGGGACCCGCACAAGCGGUGGAGCAUGUGGUUUAAUUCGAAGAUACGCGAAGAACCUUACCUGGGCUUGAUAUCCUAAGAACCUUAUAGAGAUAUGAGGGUGCUAGCUUGCUAGAACUUAGAGACAGGUGCUGCACGGCUGUCGUCAGCUCGUGUCGUGAGAUGUUGGGUUAAGUCCCGCAACGAGCGCAACCCACGUAUUUAGUUGCUAACGGUUCGGCCGAGCACUCUAAAUAGACUGCCUUCGUAAGGAGGAGGAAGGUGUGGACGACGUCAAGUCAUCAUGGCCCUUAUGCCCAGGGCGACACACGUGCUACAAUGGCAUAUACAAUGAGACGCAAUACCGCGAGGUGGAGCAAAUCUAUAAAAUAUGUCCCAGUUCGGAUUGUUCUCUGCAACUCGAGAGCAUGAAGCCGGAAUCGCUAGUAAUCGUAGAUCAGCCAUGCUACGGUGAAUACGUUCCCGGGUCUUGUACUCACCGCCCGUCACACCAUGGGAGUUGAUUUCACUCGAAGCCGGAAUACUAAACUAGUUACCGUCCACAGUGGAAUCAGCGACUGGGGUGAAGUCGUAACAAGGUAACCGUAGGAGAACCUGCGGUUGGAUCACCUCCUUUCUA